UCGGGCAUGUCCAUCUUUUCAUAGAGGUAUACUUGAAAUUACGCAUACUGUCCGUUUCAUUGGUUAAUCAUUAUUAAUGAAGUCCGGCCAUCAUGCCCUGUUGCAAAGUGCUGCAGCCUUUUUUAAAUUGUUUACAAUAUAACUAGUUCGAGGGUUGUUCUUAUACGUUUCUCCAAUAGAAGUCGUCUUAAAACCAUGGAACCGAAACCAAACCCAACCUCCUCCGUCAAUAGACGCUAAACCCGUGAAGUCGCAAAACGUUUUAUACUACUGACCCUUCAUUUUCCCCAACCUACAAUACUAGUUUGAAAUACAGAUUUUUUCGUAUUUGCAACUUUGGAAGCAUGGUGGAAAGAGAGGAUAUCAACCAGCUUUCGAGCACCUUUCGACCCUUUACUAGGAUUAUCAACCAUAGAUCAACCUAUCGACCCUUCACUGGGAUUAUCAACCU